rnacentral:rRNA from 1 species
GUAUAGGUUUUAUUAUUAUUAAUAAAUUAUUAUUAAAUAAUUGUAUUUAAAUAUACAGCCACAGAAGGUGCCAGCCCUGUUAUUUAAUAAUAUUUAUUAAAUUUAUAAAACUUUAGAGUCGUGUUGCUUGGAAGUGCAGCACAAAGUUGGUGAUAAACAUCAUCUAAGGCUAAAUAUUCCUAUGAAUCCGAUAGUGAACAAGUACUGUGAAGGAAAAUUGCAAAGUACUCCGGAGAGAGAGUUAAAGAGGACGUGAAACCGAUACGAUGGAAGCAUACAGAGCCAGUUGCACUAUUAUUAAUAUUUUUUUAUUAAUAAUUUUAAGCAUGGGUAUAUUGAUUAUUAAUUAGUUAUUUAUUAAAGAGUGAUAAAAUUUUUUAAAUUUUGUUAACUUUAAUAAAAUAAUUAUAUUUAUAAUUAAUAUUAUAUAUUAUUAAUAUAUUAAUAAUAUUUUAAUUAUUAAUAUAAUAUAAGACACAUGUGUUAAAUAUUAUUUAUUAAUAAUUAUUAUAUUAUUAUAAAUUAAUAA